rnacentral:rRNA from 1 species
AUUGAACGCUGGCGGCAUGCCUUACACAUGCAAGUCGAACGGCAGCACGGGAGCAAUCCUGGUGGCGAGUGGCGAACGGGUGAGUAGUAUAUCGGAACGUGCCCAGUCGUGGGGAUAACGUAGCGAAAGCUACGCUAAUACCGCAUACGAUCUAUGGAUGAAAGCGGGGGAUCGCAAGACCUCGCGCGAUUGGAGCGGCCGAUAUCAGAUUAGGUAGUUGGUGAGGUAAAGGCUCACCAAGCCGACGAUCUGUAGCUGGUCUGAGAGGACGACCAGCCACACUGGGACUGAGACACGGCCCAGACUCCUACGGGAGGCAGCAGUGGGGAAUUUUGGACAAUGGGCGCAAGCCUGAUCCAGCAAUGCCGCGUGCAGGAUGAAGGCCUUCGGGUUGUAAC